GAUGAACGCUGGCGGCGUGCCUAAUACAUGCAAGUCGAGCGAACGGACGAGAAGCUUGCUUCUCUGAUGUUAGCGGCGGACGGGUGAGUAACACGUGGAUAACCUACCUAUAAGACUGGGAUAACUUCGGGAAACCGGAGCUAAUACCGGAUAAUAUUUUGAACCGCAUGGUUCAAUAGUGAAAGACGGUCUUGCUGUCACUUAUAGAUGGAUCCGCGCUGCAUUAGCUAGUUGGUAAGGUAACGGCUUACCAAGGCAACGAUGCAUAGCCUACCUGAGAGGGUGAUCGGCCACACUGGAACUGAGACACGGUCCAGACUCCUACGGGAGGCAGCAGUAGGGAAUCUUCCGCAAUGGGCGAAAGCCUGACGGAGCAACGCCGCGUGAGUGAUGAAGGUCUUCGGAUCGUAAAACUCUGUUAUUAGGGAAGAACAUAUGUGUAAGUAACUGUGCACAUCUUGACGGUACCUAAUCAGAAAGCCACGGCUAACUACGUG
rnacentral:rRNA from 1 species